rnacentral:lncRNA from 1 species
AUUAAUGAAAAACCAGAACUGGAACGACCAAGAGCCAUAAAUGAUAACAAAAAUCACCAGAUCCAAGCAAACACAUGAGUCUCAGAUACUUAAGAAGUUACCACCAUGCUCAACAACAAAGAUGGUUCUUGAAUGGAAGACGUAAAUUCAAGUCUAAUGCCGACUAGAAGAAUCAAAGAAGAAAAGAAAGGUGGAGAAAGCUGUCACAGUCAAGUACCAAACUAGAGCCAGGAGAUCUGAGCAUCAAUGGUAGAAGUCAAAAGCAUCGGACGAAGGAUCCUAUUUCCAGUGAAGACUAUGACAGAAUUGUAUGAUGUGACACCAUAUGGACCACGAACCACAAGCAUACUGUACACGGUCCUUCCCAGAAAACAUUUGCUGGCCCUGAACUAGACCAUGGAGAAAUACCAAGAUGCAGUUUUUCUAAACUCAAAGUUGGAGGAAAGUACAUACACUGAGCUGAGGAACACCUGGAAGUAUCAUGUUUAAAGGCACCGGUCAGGGGAAGCUUGGCUGAGGAGAAACAGAGAUGUGUCUGAUACAUUGAGAGCAAGAAUGAGGAAGUUCCUGGAACAGUAAUCACGAAGACAACCAAGUCUUGCAAAGAGGGCAGCGAUGUGUCUCUAUUAAUCUGAAAAUUCUUCACUGAGCUGACAGUUGGAUCAAAGCCUGUGAGUGACCUGGUGCCCCGAAGCUGAUGCAGGAAAGGCUGCAGCGCAUUACCGAGUCGGGUCUUGUCUACUCAGAAGCAUGCCGUAUUCCAACGCAGCAGUUAGAAACUCUUUGAAGUCUGUUUUAGCAGUCUGUUCUUUUAAAUUGUCAAUAAUAUAAACACAGCAAUC